rnacentral:misc_RNA from 1 species
AACGCACGAGACCUGCGGACCUGCGGAAGGAUCAUUAAUGAGAAGCUGCCCCUCGUGGGUAGACCUCCCACCCUCUGUGAACUUACCUUUGUUGCUUUGGCAGGCCCGUCCUCUGGACCGCCGGCUUCGGCUGGCCCGUGCCUGCCAGAGGAUUCCAAACCCUGUCUGUCAGUGUUGUCUGAGUCUAUGUGAAAUCGUUAAAACUUUUAACAAUGGAUCUCUAGAUCGGAAGAGCACACG